rnacentral:rRNA from 1 species
UACGGGGGGGGCAAGCGUUGUUCGGAAUUAUUGGGCGUAAAGGGUGCGUAGGUGGCGCCGUAAGUCGGGUGUGAAAUUUCGGAGCUUAACUCCGAAACUGCAUUCGAUACUGCGGUGCUUGAGGACUGGAGAGGAGACUGGAAUUCAUGGUGUAGCAGUGAAAUGCGUAGAGAUCAUGAGGAAGACCAGUGGCGAAGGCGGGUCUCUGGACAGUUCCUGACACUGAGGCACGAAGGCCAGGGGAGCAAACAGG